UACAGAGGUCCCAAGCGUUGUUCGGAUUCAUUGGGCGUAAAGGGUGUGUAGGUGGCGCCGUAAGUCGGGUGUGAAAUUUCGGAGCUUAACUCCGAAACUGCAUUCGAUACUGCGGUGCUUGAGGACUGGAGAGGAGACUGGAAUUCAUGGUGUAGCAGUGAAAUGCGCAGAUAUCAGGAGGAACACCGGUGGCGAAGGCGGGUCUCUGGGCCGAAACUGACGCUGAGGAGCGAAAGCGUGGGGAGCAAACAGG
rnacentral:rRNA from 1 species